rnacentral:misc_RNA from 1 species
AAGUCGUAACAAGGUCAUCGUAGGUGAACCUGCGGUGGGAUCAUUAUCGAUCUACCAUAGACGCGCGUCAGCGCGGCUAUGGCGCUGGCAGGCGGUCUUGACUGGCUGUCGGCACACCCAACGUGCGGAAAAGAGUACUAUCUGGUCGUUGCUCCUUUGGGGCGGCGUCCUACUCGCUGUAAAGCACUGCUGAGACUACACACCUUAUGGAGCCAUACACAAACUACACAAUAGUUACAACUAUACAUGGUGGAUCACUUGGCUCUC